rnacentral:rRNA from 1 species
ACUCCUACGGGUGGCUGCAGUGGGGAAUAUUGGACAAUGGGGGGAACCCUGAUCCAGCCAUGCCGCGUGUGUGAAGAAGGCCUUAUGGUUGUAAAGCACUUUAAGCAGUGAAGAAUACAUCAUGGCUAAUAUCCGUGAUGAAUGACAUUAGCUGCAGAAUAAGCACCGGCUAACUCUGUGCCAGCAGCCGCGGUAAUACAGAGGGUGCGAGCGUUAAUCGGAAUUACUGGGCGUAAAGCGAGCGUAGGUGGUUUAUUAAGUCAGAUGUGAAAUCCCUGGGCUUAACCUAGGAACUGCAUCUGAUACUGACAAACUAGAGUAGGUGAGAGGAAAGUAGAAUUCCAGGUGUAGCGGUGAGAUGCGUAGAGAUCUGGAGGAAUACCGAUGGCGAAGGCAGCUUUCUGGCAUCAUACUGACACUGAGGUUCGAAAGCGUGGGUAGCAAACAGGAUUAGAUACCCUGGUAGUCCACGCCGUAAACGAUGUCUACCAGUCGUUGGGUCUUUUAAAGACUUAGUGACGCAGUUAACGCGAUAAGUAGACCGCCUGGGGAGUACGGCCGCAAGGUUAAAACUCAAAUGAAUUGACGGGGGCCCGCACAAGCGGUGGAGCAUGUGGUUUAAUUCGAUGCAACGCGAAGAACCUUACCUGGUCUUGACAUAGUGAGAAUCUUGCAGAGAUGCGAGAGUGCCUUUGGGAAUUCACAUACAGGUGAUGCAUGGCUGUCGUCAGCUCG